AUCCAGAAAAGCUCAAGUGUGGCAGAGCUAUGCAGUCAUCCUGCAAAAAGACGCAAGAAAAGUGAUCUGGACCACCUAGCUAACACUGUUGCACGGAACUGCCACAAGCGAGCAGCUUUCGUGGUAAGGGCAGCAUCAGACCAGAUGUCCAAGUUUUCCUCCAGGACGCAUGUUCCCAGACGCAACACAAAAGCGGUGCAGACUUAUAUCAAGGCUCCAUCUGUCGGGGUCCAGGCCAAUCCAUCAGUACAGCACAGCCAUGUCCAGACUGAUCACAGGCCGCUUUUGCGUGUGGCAGGCAUCACAUAAGCCACGGUAUUCCCAGUCCACAGUGAAAUCUCGUAGUGUUGCUUCAGUUCUUGAUGUAUACAGGGCAGAUUACUUCAAGAAGAGCUCAUACUGCUUUGGAGAAUACACAGGAGGGUGAUGUGUAAGGAAUUACUCGUCUGUUCGGUCUCACUAAUCUGGAUAAUUUACUAUUCUUGACAUGGUUGCAAUAGCUUGGCAAAAAAUUGUUACAUGAAAGAUAAAUAUGUGUGAAGAGCAUAGAUUUCCAUGCUCACAAGAUGCAGAUUGAAUGGCAGGCAGAAUAGAACAUCGUUAAGAAUUUCCCGCAAGCAAGCCAGUGCGUGGAGAUGCUUGGAGUGUUUUCUGAACAUUGACGGUCUCUCGUCAGUCUUCACCUCGUGCGCCAUCAAUGUGCGACGUGUGCUUGCAGUGUUCUUCAUCACACCAGCAUUGUCAGACAUUUUGUAGCUGACACUGCGCUUUUAUUUUUAUCCAGCAGGAGUUGCCUUAAGUGCUGCAUCGCACCAAGAUGUCGCACUCGCGUAUACUUUUUACACCG
rnacentral:lncRNA from 1 species